rnacentral:lncRNA from 1 species
AACUUGCGGGAUCAGCUGAGUCCUCCAAGGUCUUGACCUUGUACAGGACAAAAGAUCAGUUGGGUCCAUGGUCAAACUAUUGCCCGGAUCAGGUUUGAGAUAGGAUCUGGGAUCAGUGAUUCAGUGUAAGUGCAGGAUCGGCGUGUCGUUGUUAAUAUGUAAUUUAUUUUUAUUUAUUUAUUUUUGUGCGUGUGUGUAUUGAUGUUUUGCCUGCAUGUGUAUCUAUGUGGGGGUGUCACAAGCCCUCGAACUGCAGUUACCGGCAGGUGCGAGCUGCAAUGUGGGUUCUAGGACUGCAACCUGGGUCCUCUGGAAGAGCAGCCAGCUGUCUUCUAAAGGACCCUGAGCCAUCUCUCCAGCUCCUAGCACUCAGCUUGCAUUCGGGGUCAGGUAUCAGCGCAUAUCUAGAACUGGAGCUCAUUCUCUGACCAGGGGUCUUUCUUUUGAGACAAGUGGCAGAAUACGAGCUCAUUUUACAAUGUGGGUAAUGUUAAGAUUUAUCUUUGUAUUUGGCAUGCUACAGUUUGACUAACAUGUUCCUACUUACGCAUAAAUUAUCAUUCUCCUUUCCCUCCCUGUCUCCUAUCUUCUCCUCUUCCUGGGACUCGUACAUACUAGAACUAGAAUAUCUUGUUUCUUUUUAUUUUUAUAGAAUAUCUUAUUUCUUUUUAUUUUUAGUAGUCCUGGGAUGGACUUAUAAAUGUUAGGCAAGCACUCUACCACUGAGCUAUAGCCUUAGCUGUGGAUAUAUUUUUAAAAUUUAAAGUAUUUUUAAAAUUAUUAUUUUUGAAUUUUAUUUGUAGACCAGGCUAGCCUUGAACUCAGGGAAUCUGCCUGUCUCUGCCCCACUCCCCACCCCCAAGUACUAGGAAUAAAGGUGUGUGCUACCAUCCAGGGUUAAGCCUUGAACAUUUUAAUUUUAAAACAGAAAUUCUACUACUUCUACUACUGAGUGAGCCCUCCAGAUCUGUUUUGGUUGUAAGGUUCUGCUUCAAUUCCUGCCUCCAGGUUCUUGCCUUGAGUUCUUGCCCUGACUACUUUUAGUGUAGUGAGAUCUGGGAAAUGUAAGAUGACAUAAACCUGUCAUGAUGGGUUGUCUUUUGUCUGUUUGCCGGCCUGCCUAUCUAUCUGUUUUGUUUUGUUUUUAAAGAUGUAUUUAUUUAUUUAUAUGGGUACACUGUAGCUGUCAUCAGACACACCAGAAGAGGGCAUCAGAUCUCAUUACAAAUGGUUGUGAGCCACCAUGUGGUUGCUGGGAAUUGAACUCAGGACCUCUGGAAGAGCAGUCAGCACUCUUAACCACUGAGCCAUCUCACCAGCCCGCAACAGAAUGUUCUUAAAGACCUGUCCCUAGUGUUAUUUCUACCAGUUAGGCAUAACCCCCUAUAGGUGCACAGACUCCUACAGUUUCAUGUGUUCCCAAAAAUACCACUAGCUAGGGAGUGAGUGUUGAAAGCAUGAGUCUAGGGGAUCAUUUUAGAUUAAAAUCAUAACAUCCUGCAUGCUUGCUACCAUAGGGCUUUCUUGCUCAGUCCUUAUCUGGCAGUACUGUGAGGACAGGCCUUGGCCCAGUGCCCGUGUCUUCUGUGCAGAGAUUUGGGUGGUGGACUGGGUAAAUAAAGGGGAGACUUGCAUUCAUCCCAUGCUCAGACUGCUCACUAAGCCAUUUUGUCUUCCUUGCCACUCUUGCUGAAAGGAAAGUGGGUUUGGAUCAGUUCUGGACCCUGAGGUUGGAAAAGGACCCUAGAUCUCCAGACCCUCUCUUAGGCUCUGGCAUCUGCCUCACCGGAGCUGGUCUAGAAGAAAGUGUAACAGAGGGAGCAGAGAGCCCUGUGGCUCUGGGCUGCUCCCUGACUGCUGUGAUGGGGUUAUAGGGUCCAGGUUCACCCCAUUCACUGUCCCAGGCCUCCAAGAGCUACCCCAACUCUUCCUGUUUCUGUGUUCUGGUAUGUGCUUGGGUUUUCAUGUGAGAUAUAAACAACAGGACAACCUGGACGGUGGUGGCAGAUGCCUUUAACCUCAUGCCUUUAACCCCUUUAAUCUUAGCCCUCAGGAUCGGAGACAGGCAGAUCUCUGUGAAUUUGGGGUCAGCUUAGUCUAUAGAGUGAGUUCUAGGACAGCCAGAGCUACACAGAGAAACCCUGUC